ACCGUGAGGGAAAGGCGAAAAGAACCCCGGCGAGGGGAGUGAAAAAGAACCUGAAACCGUGUACGUACAAGCAGUGGGAGCCUCUUAAUGGGGUGACUGCGUACCUUUUGUAUAAUGGGUCAGCGACUUAUAUUCUGUAGCAAGGUUAACCGAAUAGGGGAGCCGAAGGGAAACCGAGUCUUAACUGGGCGUUAAGUUGCAGGGUAUAGACCCGAAACCCGGUGAUCUAGCCAUGGGCAGGUUGAAGGUUGGGUAACACUAACUGGAGGACCGAACCGACUAAUGUUGAAAAAUUAGCGGAUGACUUGUGGCUGGGGGUGAAAGGCCAAUCAAACCGGGAGAUAGCUGGUUCUCCCCGAAAGCUAUUUAGGUAGCGCCUCGUGAAUUCAUCUCCGGGGGUAGAGCACUGUUUCGGCAAGGGGGUCAUCCCGACUUACCAACCCGAUGCAAACUGCGAAUACCGGAGAAUGUUAUCACGGGAGACACACGGCGGGUGCUAACGUCCGUCGUGAAGAGGGAAACAACCCAGACCGCCAGCUAAGGUCCCAAAGUCAUGGUUAAGUGGGAAACGAUGUGGGAAGGCCCAGACAGCCAGGAUGUUGGCUUAGAAGCAGCCAUCAUUUAAAGAAAGCGUAAUAGCUCACUGGUCGAGUCGGCCUGCGCGGAAGAUGUAACGGGGCUAAACCAUG
rnacentral:rRNA from 1 species